CCUACGGUGUGCAGCAGUGAGGAAUAUUGGUCAAUGGGCGGAAGCCUGAACCAGCCAAGUAGCGUGCGGGAUGAAGGCCCUACGGGUCGUAAACCGCUUUUGCACGGGGAUAACACCCUCCACUUGUGGAGGUCUGCAGGUACCGUGCGAAUAAGGGCCGGCUAAUUCCGUGCCAGCAGCCGCGGUAAUACGGAAGGCCCGAGCGUUAUCCGGAUUCAUUGGGGGUAAAGGGCGUGCAGCCGGAGAGACAAGUCAGAUGUGAAAUCCACGGGCUCAACCCGUGAACUGCAUUUGAAACUGUUUCCCUUGAGUGUCGGAGAGGUAAUCGGAAUUCCUAGUGUAGCGGUGAAAUGCGUAGAUAUUAGGAAGAACACCAGUGGCGAAGGCGGAUUACUGGACGAUAACUGACGGUGAGGCGCGAAAGCGUGGGGAGCAAACAGGAUUAGAUACCCGUGUAGUC
rnacentral:rRNA from 1 species